rnacentral:rRNA from 1 species
UUUACCCUGUUGCUUCCACUGGAUUGAGAGUUUCUAUANCUUGCGUGUGAGAAACUCUGGCGUGUGUUAAUAUUCACACUCCAGCCAGUGAGAGGACCAUUUAUAAAAACCUGUUAAGAACCAAUUGUCUGAAUAGUUUGCUCCAAUGAAAUAAAACUUUCAACAACGGAUCUCUAGGCUCUUGCAUCGAUGAAGAACGCAGUGAAAUGCGAUAAGUAAUGUGAAUUGCAGAAUCUCGUGAAUCAUCGAAUCUUUGAACGCACAUUGCGCCCUAUGGUAUUCCAUAGAGCAUGCCUGUCUGAGCGUCAGCUUCCCCACACUCAAGCGUCCUUUUUAAUGAUGCUUGGAUUGCUUUGGAGAGGUAUCAUUUUUAACAAGAAGCCCUCCAGAAAUUUAUAGGCAGUAUGGUUUGCACCAGCACCAGACGUAAUAAUAAUAAAAUCGUCGGUAUUGGUAUAAUCAUUGUGCUUGCCUUUGAAUCACCCAUAUUGAUUUUUUUGGGGUGACCUCAGAUCAGGUAGGGAUACCCCGCUGAACUU